UGAAUGUUCAUAGCACUUUUACUUCUAAGAGCCAAAAGCUAGAAUCAACCCAGAUGUCCUUUUUAUUUCUUCUUUUUUUUUUUUUUUAGGGCCGCACCUGUGGCACAUGGAGGUUCCCAGAAAAAAAAGACAAAAAAAAAAAAGGUUAUAAAGUUUCAAAAAUUGGAGUAGCCUCAUGGCCCAGAGGGUUAAGGACCUGAUGUUGUCACUGCUGUGGCUAUGGUUCAAGCCCUGUCCCAGGAACUUCCACAUAUUGCAGGCACAGCCAAAAAUAAAUAAAAGUUAGAAUGACCAACCAAUGAAAAUAAAACCUGAAAAGAGGUGGGAUCUCCUUUCAUUAGGCUCCCUGAAAAACCAUGGAAAUGAAACAUUUUUAUUUAUGACAAAGGACAACCAAAGUUACACUACCUAAUAGUUGGGAUACAGAAAAGAUACUGAUUCUAAGGCCCAAAUUAAAUUCUCUUGAUUACCAAAUAAAAAAUAGAUCAAAUUCUCUUGACUAUUAAAUAAAUAUAGAACGGUCAAAAAAGUAGUUAAUGCCUUUAUCUUACCAACUAAGCAAGAAGAGUUUGGAAGGAAAAAAAAAGCAAAAAUGCAAAGAUAGGAUGCCCAAAAUUCACAACUAACUUUCCAAAUGUGCAUUUAACUCUUGACAUAUAAUAAAACUAGGCAUCAUAUGCUCAGCACCUACUUCAGAACUAGCACUGUGCUGGCCACUUCAUAUAAUUUUACCUUGUAACAUCUCAGUCGUGCGAGGCUGCACAGUAUUCACUCCAUUUAGAGAUGAAGAACUGGGUCUCAGAGAUUAAAGGUACUUCUACUAAAUAGGUAGCAAAAUACACUCUCAAAGAGAUCUAUCCAACUUAAAAGUAUUAUGAUUUAAUAUCCUUAAUUAAGAGAUUAAAGGAAAAUGAGAGAAAAAUGAAUGUCUGAGAUAAAGGGAUCACAAAUUCAAAGCUCUUAGAAACUCAAUGUAUGAGGAGAUAAAAUCUCUUUAAGUUUUAAAACUUGGUACACUGAGCUCACAUCCUCCCUACCUAAAAUUUACUCCCCUCCCCAACUUCUAUCUCUGUAUUAACGCUGUUUUUCUUUCUUUCACUCCAUAAAUAUGUAAGUGUAAUAUAAGGAAGACACCAGGCUACACACUGUUAAGAUGCAAAAAGAUGAAUCAGACCAGAAAGAGAAAGGCAUGAGCCAGGGGAGGGUA
rnacentral:lncRNA from 1 species